rnacentral:rRNA from 1 species
UGGGGAAUAUUGCACAAUGGAGGGAACUCUGAUGCAGCGACGCCGCGUGAGUGAUGAAGGACUUCGUUUCGUAAAACUCUGUUCUAUGGGAAGAAAAGGACUGUACCAUAGGAGAAAGCUCCGGCUAAAUACGUGCCAGCAGCCGCGGUAAUACGUAUGGAGCGAGCGUUGUCCGGAAUUAUUGGGCGUAAAGGGUGCGCAGGCGGCUUUACAAGUUGGAUGUGAAAUAUUGUGGCUCAACCACAAACGUGCAUCCAAAACUGCAAAGCUUGAGUUAAGGAGAGGUAAGUGGAAUUCCUGGUGUAGCGGUGGAAUGCGUAGAUAUCAGGAAGAAUACCGGUGGCGAAGGCGACUUACUGGACUUAAACUGACGCUCAGGCACGAAAGCGUGGGGAGCAAACAGG